CGUCUCCCCAUAUUUCAAGGAAACCGCUCACCCGACUGACUCGGCUACCCCUGAGGCAUGUUGUGUUAAAGAAACACCUAUGCAGGUGGAUCUUACACUAAUGAAUGUAGGGGAUGGAGGCACGGUGAGCAGACAGAUCAGUGCUCCAAUUAAAGCGUCUGCUAGUAUGGUGGGAAAUCCCCCCCAGACGCUACCCUCUGAGUUCAGAGGAGAUGUUACCCUCAGUCAGCAAAACAAGAGCACACCAACAACAGACUGUAAGACCGCGAAAGCCUGCCUGGACACUAGCAAUUACAACCACAGCCCCGAGCUGUCUCCACCUCUGCAGCCCAACAAUGCACCGACGUCCGGCUCAGAGAAGAGAGCGGACAAAAGGGCCGAGGCCCCUAAACCCAAGUCGGACGGCGCCGCCGUCCUCCCCGCCGUCCUCUCCGCUCCCCAGUGGUCGAGUGGAGAGGACUUGCUCAGCCCCGGUCGCGGCGCGCCGACAGCCAGCAAGAAAUCACACCCGCCGACGCAAUCUGCGCAAAGUGCACCGCCCGGGUUUCAGUGCUCCACCAAGUUCAAACCAGCCCAGCCGGUUGCCUUCCUUCCGUCCACAAAUUUCCCCUCUCCGCUCUGUAAAAUCACUCUUCCACCAGCAUUGAGUCAGAUUUCAGCAUUUAGAGACGCCACAGCGGGUCAGUUCCAGAAAGAGAUUCCGCCCCAGAGCUCAUGUGUCGGAGGGACACCUCUCGUGCGGACGUAUCCCUACCCCUUCUCGGUGGGCAGGACUCCGGCUGCGGAGAAAAGAGCCGGCGCGUCGAAGCUCAAAUCCAACCAUUCGUCUAAUAAGCAUUCUAAAUCCGUGGGCGAGCAUAAAUCUUUAGCGUCAGUGGUGGCCUCACCGGCUGUUGCCCUACCGUUGCAGCAGCCUUCAUUAACUCCCGCAGCACCCUCCCGCUACACGCUGUCUCCCACCGCUGCCAUUUGCUGUGGCUCCGCACUCGCCGGCGUCACCUCUCAGAGCAGGCUGCUGAACCACGCGGAGAAAAGCAGCAGCCUAGACAAGACCACCGUGGGCUCUCCUAAAACGACCCCCGCCUCUGCUUCAGACGACACUGCGGCGUGUCCCGUCGAGCCGAGAGACGUGCCUCUCGAUUUAUCUGCUAAAUCCAAACGUCCGAAGUGCAUCGACGACCCUCUAGUUGCAACGAUCGAGCCUCAUAAUAGUGAGCCGAAUCAGAAAGAUUUUCUGAACGCAAAGCGGGCUCAUUCCACGACGUAUAGCCCGGCUGCACAAUACCCCGUCCUACCGAACACCCACAGAAAUGGAUCCCAUCAAAAGCAGUCAAAUCGGCCUCAGAAUCACCAGGUCCAAGAGCCCAAACCAGCGUGGGGUAAGGGAGCUUCUCAAGACUCCAUAAAAAACAUCCCUGGAACAUAUGUUGGCGUGGCCAGCCCAAUACUGGCUUCUACUCUGCGGGGCAAGGACGGAAAAGGGACUUUUGUAGAUGAAUAUCAGAGUUUCGCCAAGCAGGAGUUUAUAUCUAUAAUCGACCAAGGGGAGCACCUGGCAUCCGGAGGAAAGAAGCCAUCCUGUAUGACGAAGGGCCACCAACACGCUCACAGUGUCAAGCAUGUAAAAAACACCAGCGUAGCCAUAACUAAGGACUGUCCCGCUAAAGGAGCCCUGACUACCGCCCUGUCGAGCUCUGCCAGGGCUCAGGCCCAUCAGAAAUCCGGCGCUGGCAAAACGGCAGUGCCGUACUCUCCCGCUGUCGUCGGUGCAGCCUGGCAGCAGCCUCCGAGUGUGCUGCACCCGGCCUCGCCCCCCUCAGAGGAAGAUCCCACAAGGAUCUCCGCAGGCGAAGGGUGCCUCCGCCACGGAAAGAUGUAA
ensembl:lncRNA